AAAAACCUCAGACCCAACCUUCAAGAGAAACUAUCUGAGCUUCAGUUUAUCUGCAAAUUGGGACACCAUCAGUUUAGAUUAAACGAAGGACUGUGAAUGGCUUGCCAAUAUAAAAGCAGUUCUCC